rnacentral:rRNA from 1 species
CAGUCGCCACGGGAAUACAGAGGGUGCAAGCGUUAAUCGGAAUUACUGGGCGUAAAGCGCGCGUAGGUGGUUUGUUAAGUUGGAUGUGAAAGCCCCGGGCUCAACCUGGGAACUGCAUCCAAAACUGGCAAGCUAGAGUACGGUAGAGGGUGGUGGAAUUUCCUGUGUAGCGGUGAAAUGCGUAGAUAUAGGAAGGAACACCAGUGGCGAAGGCGACCACCUGGACUGAUACUGACACUGAGGUGCGAAAGCGUGGGGAGCAAACAGGAUUAGAUACCCCGGUAGUCCCUGUCUCUUAUAA